rnacentral:rRNA from 1 species
CCUACGGGUGGCAGCAGUGGGGAAUAUUGGGCAAUGGGCGCAAGCCUGACCCAGCAACGCCGCGUGAAGGAAGAAGGCUCUCGGGGUGUUAACUUUUUUUUAGAGGGAAGUGCAGAAGACGGUACCUCUUGAAUAAGCUACGGCUAAUUAAGGGCCAGCAGCCGCGGGCAUACCGAGGUGCCAAGUGUUGCCCGGAUUUACUGGGUGUAAAGGGCGUGCAGCCGGGAAGGCAAGUCAGAUGUGAAAUCCCGCGGCUCAACCGGUGAACUGCAUUUGAAACUGUUUUUCUUGAGUACCGGAGAGGUCAUCGGAAUUCCUGGUGUAGCGGUGAAAUGCGUAGAUAUAAGGAAGAACUCCGAUGGCGAAGGCAGAUGACUGGACGGCAACUGACGGUGAGGCGCGAAAGCGUGGGGAUCAAACAGGAUUAGAUACCCGGGUAGUC